CCCUUAGAUGUUCUGGGCCGCACGCGCGCUACACUGAUGCAUUCAACGAGUCUAAAACCUGGUCUGAUAGGGCUGGGUAAUCUUUUGAAUGUGCAUCGUGAUUGGGAUAGAUGAUUGCAAUUCUUCAUCUUCAACGAGGAAUGCCUAGUAAACGCAAGUCAUCAGCUUGCAUUGAUUACGUCCCUGCCCUUUGUACACACCGCCCGUCGCUCCUACCGAUUGAAUGUUCCGAUGAAUACCAUGGACUGAGAGUAUGAAUGGGUUCGCCUAUUUCUGCUUCUCGGGAAGUGGAGUAAAUCUUAACAUUUAGAGGAAGGAGAAGUCGCAACA
rnacentral:rRNA from 1 species